UGAAAAUAGGGCGUGACAUAUGUAGACCCCACAACCUUCCAAAUAAGAGGAGACCUUUUUUGGUUUCCCAAUUAAUGUACCCCUAAAAUAAAGAGGAACUCAAAUUUUAAAUACAAAUUCAAAUAUCAAAAUCAAAAGUAAAUUUAAUUUAAAAUUUAAAUUUCAAUCCAAAUUCAAACUUCAAAUUCAAAUUUAAAUUUCUAAUUUCUGGUUAGUUUAAAUUUAUAAUUUUAAUAGUAAUUUUAAAUUUAAAUUCAAAAAUUUGUAUUUUUAUUUUUGAGAAAUAAAGAGAAGAAAAUACAAAGUAUAGGGAUCAAAACUGACAUACAGAAGAAAGCCAAGUAGGUGCCAAUAUGGUUAUUUUGUUAUUUUUAAUACCUCUUUUAACAAUUGGAAUAUAAUCGUAAUGAAAUUAAUAAGCAGUGAGAAUUUGAUUGCAAAACAAAAAAAAAAAAAUUAUUAUGGACUAAAAUAAAAAUGGUGCAAAGAUUGGGUUCCAAUUUAAAA
rnacentral:lncRNA from 1 species